rnacentral:rRNA from 1 species
GACGAACGCUGGCGGCGUGCUUAACACAUGCAAGUCGAACGGAAAGGCCCUGCUUUUGUUGGGUGCUCGAGUGGCGAACGGGUGAGUAACACGUGAGUAACCUGCCCUUGACUUUGGGAUAACUUCAGGAAACUGGGGCUAAUACCGGAUAUGAGCUCCUGCUGCAUGGUGUGGGUUGGAAAGUUUCGGCGGUUGGGGAUGGACUCGCGGCUUAUCAGCUUGUUGGUGAGGUAGUGGCUUACCAAGGCUUUGACGGGUAGCCGGCCUGAGAGGGUGACCGGCCACAUUGGGACUGAGAUACGGCGCAGAAUCAUACGGGAGGCAGCAGUGGGGAAUAUUGCAGAAUGGGCGGAAGCCUGAUGCAGAAACGCCGCGUGCGGGAUGACGGCCUUCGGGGUGUAAACCGAUUUCGCCUGUGACGAAGAGUGAGUGACGGUAAUGGGUAAAGAAGCACCGGCUAACUACGUG